ACCACUACACAGCGAGGCCUCGCACGAAAAAAAACCCAGACGAGGCCCGCUCGCACGAAAAGAAAUCAGACGAACCGGGAGCGAGCCCCCCUCGCACGAAGGCACGAACCAGAGCGAGGACCCCUCGUAUGAAAAAAUAUCUGACGAACGAGGCUGCCCUCGAUCUAUUCUCUACGACGACGGGAACAAUGCCCCAGCCGCCAUCGCGGAUCUAGAGGAACCGCAGCCGAGAUGCUAGAGGAGCCGACGCCGAGGUAAUAGAGGAUCCGUCGCCGCCUUCAUUGCACACCUCCAGGGCACCGUCGGGACACUACUGCCGAGGUCUGCCAUCGCCGACGUCGAGGUCUGAGAGGGGCAUGACCCUAGGGAGAUCUUCGUCGAGGUUGCCGCCGCCGACGACAUCGCCUGCCCAAGGUGAGAUCCUAGGGCCUGUCUCCUCCUCUCCUUGCAGCACUAUGCUCUGUCGCGAGGCUGGCGGUGGGUCGAUGGACGGAGAGGAAAGGUAUGGUGUCGUUGAUCCGUCCUGCCUGUGGAUUCACUGGAUGCGUCUUGGUGGAGUGAGCGCUCAUGAGAUUCGAUCUGGUUGUUCUUUCCUUCAAGGUCGAUUUGGGGUCAGUAGAUUUGAUCUGGCAUAAGCUCUCCCUUGUUCUUUUGUGCUUGAAUCAGAUUUGGUGGUUCUCAAUCUUGGUCUUCUUUUGUAUGCAUGAUACACAACCGUGAGUGCUCCUCUCCCCUUUCCCUCCCUGCUAAAAUUCAGUUCCAAACACGAUCUGACGGUCUGAGCCCUAUUUGGUGUUGGUGCACUUUCUGAGUAAUUGUAUGUUCAAGAAUUGAUCUAAAUUUAAAGGAUAAGAAAGUUUACAUUUUCUUAUAUGGCUCAGACCGAAUAAAGUCUGAUCAGGUUUGCUGUUGGGUUGUUUGUAAUAUAAAAAACAACCAUAAUCAUCGAGGAGUGAGUCAUUCUCUCAUGGGGAUUUGUUUGCCUAAUAGUAGAAUUCCAAUUGCUUUUGGAUUUGUAUGAUGCAGCUUACAUACUCCCAUCACCCAGUAACAUAUCAAUAUCAGUUACUGCAUCUGGCCGGGUUUAUAUUAUGCAUCCCUACUGAAAGUUUCAUUGUUAAAUAGAAACGAAGAUUACAGUUAUAGAUGAUAGAUAUAUGUAAUUGUGUGCUGCAUUCUCACUGCUUCCAGUAGAUAGUAUCAUUUCAGAGUUCACCUAAAAUUUGCAAUGUUCAAAUUUUUGGGAUCAAAAUACAACUUUUUUUAAAUUUAAGCCAAUAUAAAGUGUGUGCAGGUUGACUUUUAAAACAUUUUUGCUUACAAGAAGGUUAUCAGUUGUAAUGUUUAGCACCUACAUAACCUGAUGGUCCUGUAGUGACUUGGGAUUGGCAACUAAAGAAACAUGGGUAUCGAGCAUAUUAAUGUGAGAAGUAGAUAUACAAUAUGUUAUAAAGGAGAAGACAAGUAAAUAUUGAGUGUGAAAGAUAAGUAUGAUUUUUUUACUAUCAUAUGAAUUAUUGAAUUUAAUCUGGUAUUCAACCCCUCAAAAUUAGAUUUAAUACAUGCUACUACACCAUUACAUAUCUCUACUAUUAAAGGAGAAUUUGACAAGUAAUCAAGCAAGUCAGCACUGUCGUCGAUGGAAGUUGUCGUGCGGAGAUGGAAGUUGACAAGUAAGUUUCUCCAUGAAGUUGAUCUGAUGCGAAGCUUGUGCCAGAUAAAAGGUUAAUUGAGUUCUCAUCUCCAAUAUGUUUGCAUUCUAACUAUCCUUGUUGAUUCAGUGGUUCCAUGAUGCUACAUUUCACUUGUUUUUCACCUCUUGAUGCUACUAUGGACGGAAGGCGUUUGCUAAUUUGCACAUUAAUUUUUUUUCUGAUAAAAUGUGCCAAUAUCACCUGCAUUAUGCUUUUUAAAUUAUUAAUCCCUGCUAUAAUGUAACGUGCCCACAUAACAAGUAUUCCGCAAUCUUCGCAAGCAUGUAUUUGUUUGUCUAACUGUAGGUGAAAGAACAAGAUCCACUGUGUGUGCAGCGGCAACAAUAAAUAUCAUGUCAUUAGGGAGACUUCUGAUAAUUCUACUCUGCAUUUUUUUUUCUUUAGUAGAAGUGUUCUGCCGCAUUAUUCAACUAUGUGUGACCAAUCUGACACACCUCACGAGUUCUAUAUAUAUAUAUGGACUGAGCAAUUGAUUCAGGUCUUUUUUCAAGUGGGGAUGCAGAUUGGGCAUCAAGGUGUACGACAGAGGAUGACAAACGAUUACGUUCUGCACGUUAGUCCGCGUACAACUUAAAAGUUGAUUGAUACUUUUCAUUUUAUAUUGAUGGUCCCUCCAGCGAGAACAAUUUUUUGACUCGAUGUGUAGAUAUGCUCUUUUAUUUGUGCGAAGUUGUUCAGACUUUUCUUUGAUUCAUUAUUUUAGCUGCAUACAAAAGGAGUAUGAGUACUGUUUGGUUCCAUGCAGGACCAACCAAGGAAGAGAAGCAAAUCACAACCCUUUAGUUCAUGGUCUAGGAGCAGGAAGAUACACAUCCAUCUUUGUGAUAUUCUGUUAAUUAUCCGCUUUCAAGUAUUUGUUGCCGAAGUGAGCAUCUAAUUGCAGGAAUUCUGUGAGGUAACCAUCUCAAUCUUUUUGUCACAAGGCUCUUGCGCGGUAGAGAUUUUUGCUUGGUCAUAAAUGAAUUAGUUCCAUUCUUUGACAGUAAGAGAAUGGAGCCAGAUGGAGGAACAUCAGCAUUGAUGCCAACAUUUCCAUUCUCUUGUUGUAGUAGUGUCUUAAUUGGAAGAAUAUUUUGAUGAUGUUGAUUGCUUUCUAUUCUCAUCUUUUCAUUAUUUUAGAUCACUUUCUCGAUAGUUCAAUACUAUAUUUUUGGGAUUAACUGUAACAUUAUGUGAAUAUAUGUUUAUAGUUCUAAAAUCAGUGUUCAUCAGCAAUCAGCCUUCUAACUAAAUAAUAUUUUCGCAAGGGCUUCUCUACACUGGUACGGUCUCUCGCUGGUACAUGAUUUGAGGCAUAGGAGGGAGGGGCACGUUGCGAUGUCGUCUUUGGUCACGGCUAUAGCUUAUGAGAAGAAUGGGAUUUAUGCUUGGGAGACUGCCCGUGGUUAGCAAGUCAUUAUUGCCGCCUCCGCUUCCCAAGUUGCCUCGGCUUGCUGUUGGUGUCUGCUGCUUCUGCAGCCCCUGCCGGCCGCCUCUUAGGUUGGGUUUUGCUACCACUACUGAAGUUUCCAUUGCCUCGGCAAGGCGUCGUCGUCUUACUUGCAAGGCACACAUUGCACCGCGGGCAACAUUUUGCUAUGCAUGGCCACUCAUGUCAAAGCUGGGUUCCAGUUUGACGACCUCUCUAUCAAGUCUCCAUGUUCUUCUUCCCUGUACUUUCUCCAUCUGCUGUUAUAGUCUCUUGCAAGUACGGCUUAUCCAGUUUGAUGUCAUGUUGCUUCGACAGUUGUGUAUUAACCCCUUAGGAAGAAGAGCGGGGAGAUGGAAGUUGUAGGCGUGUGCCCCCGGCCGACCGUCGUUAGACCAGUAUGAGCUAGCGGCGGUGGUCGUCGAGGACUCUAAGCAUCCGCGGAUUGUCGUGGCGUAGUGGUGCCACCGAGGGCACCAACAUCAGCAGUAGAUGCAACAACGGCGGCAACGAUGGUGCUGGGGAAUAGAUUCAGUUGAGUGGUGGAGUUAGCACUUGCUCAUGGUCAUGGAUGACUCUUCCUCGUCGAUGGAUGUAUGUUUAGUACUUCGUCAGUUUCAUAAUUCUUGUCGUGCUUUUAGUUCAAAGUAAAACCAUGUCAAGAAUUAUGGAAUGGAGGGAGUACUUAUUUGCCGAACCGGAGUUAAUACGUGCAUGGUGUGUGGUAACUACUCUUGCAUUUGAAUUUUUUGUGUGCGUUUAGUCUUUUAGAGGCUUUGUACUCUAUUGAUACACAUGUGGCAUAUCUGCAGGAUAGAUAAUGUUUCAUUGGUAGCCCACACAGUGCAUCUAGAGAAAACAAUUGCUUUCAUCGGCAUACGGGGAUAUAUUCUUCAGUGGACAUUCAGCUAGAAUACAUAUGAAUUUUCCAUAUACUUCAGAGUUUUUUCUCUCAAGGGAGCUGCAUUUUUUUAGAAAGGGAAUAACACAUAUUGGUUGUUUUCAUGGUAUUAGCCACCUCUAUUGUGUGUCUCAAUCAUUUAAAUUUUGGGCAUUGUACUAUCAUGGAUCAGUUUUGCAAUAAAUUGGUAGAAGUUUUUGCCCCCAAGAAUAUAAUGAGAAAUAUUUGCCGCAACUAAACUUUGCUGAGCAUGUCUAUUAACACUUUCCUCUUCUCCUAUUAGAUGUAAUGAUGUAGACCAAAGCAACCCUCAUGUAUAUUGAUACUAUACUAGAAGGCCACUGAAGAAUUUUACAGAACAAGAGAAGAUGGCGUGCACCAUAUCUUUAAGAUGACUUCCCUCACCAUGUGGCAUGCACUUUUCGGUUUUACUUUAGCGCAAUUGCCAUGUAUGUAAGGGAUGCAAUUAGGCUGAAUAUUGCAAUUGUAGUUUUUUCUAAACUUUUUCAACAUCCCAGCAUUAGUAAAAUACUCCCCCCCAUUCCAUAAUGUAAGACUUUUUUGCAAGCUAUAUGUUUGUACAUUAUA